GCUGAAGGGGAAAAGGGUUCUUGGAGCCAUUUUUCAAGACCAGGUGGUGAAUACCCGACAGUACUUGGAACAUGUGAAAGACUCCACAACAGGAAUGCAAGGUAGAGUGGUGAAGCUAUUCACCAACCAUUUCCGAGUGACCUCUCGCCCUCAACUCCUCACGUAUAAGUACAACAUUGAUUACAUGCCAGAGGUUGAAGAUGGAAAAGUUCGUACAGAUUUGCUCUGCCAGCAUAAACAUGUAAUUGGAGAGUGUCCCACAUUAGAUGGGAACUCUUUAUUACUGCCUCAUAAACUACAAAAGCAGGAAUUUUGAAGAUGAUGGAUUUGAAGCAAGUUGGUCGCAACUAUUACAACGAGAAUGAGGCCACGGAGUUCCUCAAUCACCAGACAUUUUAAGCUGAAGAGCGUGGAUGUAAAGCUGCUUGGCCAGCAUCAUCUUAGGAGUCCUCGACUUUAUUCUUGCUUCCCAAUUUCAAAAUUUACGACAAAGCUCUCGGAAUCAGGACAGUGGGAUACUGCAAGAGUUUCAAGACUGCUUUCUUGGGGAAGGAAUAC